UCACUUUUUAUACACCCCACCCUAACCUACACAAAAAGCGGAAGUACAAAUAAUAAAUUUGGCAAUAGCCUAUAAAAAAUAGAAUACAUAAAAAUAUAGCUCUGGGAGCGCAAGCUCACAUAUAAUAAGAGCAAAAUUUGGGAUCUUACAAGAAAAUAUAAUCAGCUGCAUAAUAAAGAAAUUGUCUUUUCUUAAUAACUUUUUCUAUAAUAAUUGAUUUAUUUUGUUUUCUUGUAUACCUGGACCUUUGCUGUCAGUGUUUUUUGUUUUU